GAUGAACGCUGGCGGCGUGCCUAAUACAUGCCAGUCGAGCGAACGGACGAGAAGCUUGCUUCUCUGAUGUUAGCGGCGGACGGGUGAGCAACACGUGGAUAACCUACCUAUAAGACUGGGAUAACUUCGGGAAACCGUAGCUAAUACCGGAUAAUAUUUUGAACCGCAUGGUUCAAAAGUGAAAGACGGUCUUGCUGUCACUUAUAGAUGGAUCCGCGCUGCAUUAGCUAGUUGGUAAGGUAACGGCUUACCAAGGCAACGAUGCAUAGCCGACCUGAGAGGGUGAUCGGCCACACUGGAACUGAGACACGGUCCAGACUCCUACGGGAGGCAGCAGUAGGGAAUCUUCCGCAAUGGGCGAAAGCCUGACGGAGCAACGCCGCGUGAGUGAUGAAGGUCUUCGGAUCGUAAAACUCUGUUAUUAGGGAAGAACAUAUGUGUAAGUAACUGUGCACAUCUUGACGGUACCUAAUCAGAAAGCCACGGCUAACUACGUG
rnacentral:rRNA from 1 species